AUGCACUGUUCUAGUAUGGGAGAUGGUGCCACACAAGGCCACGGACGCUGGAACCCAAUCCGGGUCUCCCGGGCGGGUUUUGAUGGGAUUGGCGGUGGAGGGAGCGUAGGGUGGGGUUCGCCUGGGCCCUGGCUGCUCUGCCCGACUGCUGGGUUCGCCUCUGUGCCACCCGUGGCCCCAUGGCGGGCGGAAGCAUGUGAGCGGGUGUCCUGCCAGACCUCUCUCUGCCGUCAUCCGACUGCUCGUCCUCCCGUCUCCUCUCCUCUCCUUCUUCCCACCGGCUCUUGGCUGGUUGCUUUGCUCCCCGUGGGCCCUUUCCAUGGCUGCUGCCGCUUCCAUGAUGCUCGCUCGCUCUCUCUUUCUCUCUCUCUCUCUUCUUCCUGCUCGUCUAGGAGCCCUGGAUUCAGGCUCUGCAGGCCUCCUGUGGCUUCCGUGGGAGCCGGCAGAGCUGUGGCCGCACUGCCCUCGUCCUCCUUCCCACGCUUGUGUCUUUGUGCACACUCGUGUGCCAGCACACGCACACAGCGCUUCCAAAGCCAGUGUGGUACAGGUGAGUGCCCCUGCGUGAAGAGCCUAAGGUGGCUUCUCUUUGGUGACAGCAGGAGAGGCUGUCAGGCACCUGCCCAGGCAGGCUCCACAUGGGUUCCCAGAGCCAGCUUCUCCCACGGCCUCAGACUCACGGCGGGUUGGGUUGUGCACCAGGUACUCUGCACACAUGGGCGGGCUGCAGGCGCCCAGCCACCACGCCUGUUCACAGGGGCAGAAAAUGCGUCUUGGAAGGCAAAGCGACUUCCGGGACGCCUCCCAGCCCGCCAGCGGCAGAGCUGCGUUCGCUCCCAGGAGUUCCCAACCAUCACGCUGAGGCCCAGCCUGGUGCUGUGGGGGCCGAGGGGGGGGACAGGUGUUACGUCCAAGGCCUCCCGAGCUGUGCGUUUAGAACCCUGGAGGGCUCCCUGCAGCAAGACUGCCAGAGAAGCCACGUGGGGAGCAUCCCACGUUCGCAGGGGGCGGAGCUCCGGAUCCCAGAGGCCUGCAGGGAAUCUGACAGCGUCACGGAGACAAAGGCCGGCAGCCACUGCCCACGCUGCCCUCAGAGCGCGCACUGAGUGA
rnacentral:lncRNA from 1 species